rnacentral:rRNA from 1 species
GAUGAACGCUGGCGGCGUGCCUAAUACAUGCGAGUCGAGCGAACAGAUGAGGAGCUUGCUCCUCUGACGUUAGCGGCGGACGGGUGAGUAACACGUGGAUAACCUACCUAUAAGACUGGGAUAACUUCGGGAAACCGGAGCUAAUACCGGAUAAUAUAUUGAACCGCAUGGUUCAAUAGUGAAAGACGGUUUUGCUGUCACUUAUAGAUGGAUCCGCGCCGCAUUAGCUAGUUGGUAAGGUAACGGCUUACCAAGGCAACGAUGCGUAGCCGACCUGAGAGGGUGAUCGGCCACACUGGAACUGAGACACGGUCCAGACUCCUACGGGAGGCAGCAGUAGGGAAUCUUCCGCAAUGGGCGAAAGCCUGACGGAGCAACGCCGCGUGAGUGAUGAAGGUCUUCGGAUCGUAAAACUCUGUUAUUAGGGAAGAACAAAUGUGUGAGUAACUAUGCACGUCUUGACGGUACCUAAUCAGAAAGCCACGGCUAACUACGUG